GGACCGUUAGCUCAGUUGGCUAGAGCGUUCCCCUGACACGGGAGAGGUCACAAGUUCGAGUCUUGUACGGUCCA
rnacentral:tRNA from 1 species